rnacentral:rRNA from 1 species
GCUUGCUUCCGCUGACGACCGGCGCACGGGUGCGUAACGCGUAUGCAACCUACCUCAUACUGGAGAAUAGCCCUUGGAAACGAGGAUUAAUGCUCCAUAGUAUCACAGAUUCGCAUGUUUCUGUGAUUAAAGAAUUUCGGUAUGAGAUGGGCAUGCGUCCCAUUAGCUUGUUGGUGAGGUAACGGCUCACCAAGGCAACGAUGGGUAGGGGGCCUGAGAGGGUGACCCCCCACACUGGUACUGAGACACGGACCAGACUCCUACGGGAGGCAGCAGUGAGGAAUAUUGGGCAAUGGAGGCAACUCUGACCCAGCCAUGCCGCGUGAAGGAUGACUGCCCUAUGGGUUGUAAACUUCUUUUAUAUGGGAAGAAACUUAUCUACGUGUAGAUAACUGACGGUACCAUACGAAUAAGGAUCGGCUAACUCCGUGCCAGCAGCCGCGGUAAUACGGAGGAUCCAAGCGUUAUCCGGAUUCAUUGGGUUUAAAGGGUCCGUAGGCGGGUCUUUAAGUCAGUGGUGAAAGCCGACAGCUC